UUGGUAAGAUAAAGUGUGUAUUAGACAUAAAAAUCAAAAUGAAAACCGUCAGUCCCGCAAUUCUGGUUGGUCUUUUAGCAAUUGCUACAUGGAGUUUAUUGAUAAAUGAGACUAUGGCUGCUGGAAAUGAAGGAGAGAAUUGUGUAUUACUUUCAACCAAUUUACUUGAUGCAACCACUUUAUCAGUACCUCUACCUCUGAGUAUAUGUAAAUAUAACUGUGGCUUGCUUGGUCCUUGGGAUCCCGAUACGGUUGUACUAGGAACUUGUAACGGCGAUGGUCUAAAGUGUUGCUUGCUGGGAUAACAAAUUUCAGUUGAUUGAAGAAACGAUUUUAAACACA